CUUAGAAGGAAAUUAUUUAAAUAUUCACAAUACUGACUUAAUUGAGAUUCAUGAGAUAUUUGAUGAAAAUAAAAUUAAUCAUGUUAAAAAUGAAAAUUUUUUUUUUUAUAAAAAUAUAAAUAAAAAAAAAUUAAAACAACAAAAAAAAAAGGAAAAUCGUUCUAUAAAAGUUAUAAACAAUGAAGCACAGAAAAAAUGUCAAAAUUAUUAUGAGCAAAAUCAUGUUGAUCAAAAUAAGCUUUAUAACAACGAUAAUGUAAAUUCUAACGAUAUAGAAAAAAAAAAAAAAAAAUUUAUUUUUUUUGGAUGAUGGUGUACAAGCCGAUGAUAACAUGCUAGGCGGUGACAACAUGCAAGACGAUGAUAACAUACAUGACGAUGAUAACAUACAUGACGAUGAUAACAUACAUGACGAUGAUAACAUACAAGACGAUGAGGAACAAAUGAUUGACCUAGAGCAUAUAAACAUGAACGAUAAUGAAUAUAAAAACGAUGACAUGUUUAUGUCAACCUGCAACGGAGAUAUUGAACGAAAAGUAAAAUUUAAGAACAAAAAAUUUUUAAAAGAGGAAAAAACUGAUGAUAAUGAAGUAAAUAAAGAAGAAAUUGAUUGGGGGGGAGUGGGUUCUGACUCUGUCAAUAAUUCAUUUCUAAACGAAAAGAGGAAAACGAACAUAUACAACAAAUUGGAUGAUGAUGAUGAUGAUGGUAUUGAUAUGUACGUGAAUAAAGAAUUUGAUUCCGUUGAUGAAAAUUUAAAUGACAACAAUUAUAGUAUAGAAAGGGUGGAUUUUGAAAAUGAAAAAGAAGAAUUGAUAAAAUUAAAUAACAAUAUAAAAAGUAAUAUAAAUCUUAUAGAUGAUAAUACAAAGGAACAAUAUGAUAGUUUUUUUUCAGACAUAAUAUUUGAUAAUAAAACUGCUGAAAAUAUGAGUGAUACCUUUAGUGUAAAAGAAGAACAUAAUAAAAAGAACGGAAGUUUAUUAUUAAAUGAAGAUGACAUAAAUGUGUUUGAUAAAACAAAUGAAAAUGAGAAUACUAAUUUGGAUGAUGACUUUUGGGUAGAUAUAUUAGAUGAUAACGCUGAUGUUAACAGUGUUAACAGUAUAGGUAAAAGUAUUAUUCACACUAAUAACCACGACUAUAACAUGAACAAUGUAAGUGUCGACGAAAGUUGCAAUUUCGACGAUUUGAAUGAAAAUAUAUUUAAUCCAAAUGAAAUAAGCGAAAAUAAAAGUGACUAUUUAAAUCAAUAUAUCGAUGAAAACAAAAAUGAUAGUGAGAAAGUUAUACAAAAGAAUAAUUCUGUAAGCUUUGAAAAAUUAAGCGACAUAUUUGAUGAAUUUUUUGAUAAUGAUAAUGAUAAUGAUAAUGUAAAUGAAAAUGGAAACGACAAUGACAAUGACAGUAAUAUUAACAACAAAGACAAUAUUGAUAAUGCUGUUGAUAGUACUAAAUUAGGAAGUCUAUAUCAGGACGGUGUAGAUGACACAUCUAACGCUAAAAAAAAAUUAAACUCGUCGACUAGACUGAUAAUAAGUGAUGAUAAAAUAAAAAAAUCAAAUUCGAUAUCAUUUGACUAUACUGAUGAGAAGGAAAAAAAUAAUUUAGAUGUUGAAAAAACGGAUGUCUCCGUUUUGAAUAAUGUAAAUUGUGCCAAUUUAAACGAUGUACGCGAAAUCAUAAAAGAUGUUGACACAAGUAAGGUAAAAAAUGACUUUUUAAACAAUAUGAUGAUGUAUACUUAUGGGAAUGAUGACAGUAGUAAAGCAGUUGGUUAUUAUAAUAACGAGAAGAAAAUAAGCUUAAAAAAAGGAACUGAUAAAAAUAAAUUUGAUAUUUUUAAAAAUAUUUAUGAAAAUUAUUACAAUACAAAUAGUAAUACAAAGGAAAUCACAUAUGCGAGUACCACCAAUAAGUAUAACGAAUUGUACUUAUUCGGAAAUAAUAUCAUAAACAACUCUUAUUUAUUUAUGUUACUGAAUUAUAAACAUAUACGGUAUUAUAAUUAUGAUAAUGCGUUGUAUACUUUAAACAGUGAAGAUUAUUCAAAAUAUGUUUUUAAAAAUAAUAAUCCAGAAAAAUAUAUUUUACAUGAUGAAGCAAUUAUUAAUGAAAUUUUUGGAAUUAAUGAUAAGGCUAUUAGUUAUAAUAGACAACUUUAUGGAGCUGAAAAAUUGUUAGAAAAAAAAAAAAACGAUGAGGUGCAUUAUGAUGUACAACAACAUAACUAUAGCAAUUAUAGCAUUUACAACAAUAGCAAUAAAAAUAUGAUGAAAAAUGGUCAUCAACAAAAUGAUGAUUUUACUACAAAUAUAUUAUAUAAUAAUGACCCUUACAGUUUUAAUAUGAACGGUAAUGCUAUUAUAACAACUAAUGAUACAACUACUACUACUGCUGCAGCGGAUGUUCCUGCUUCUUCUGUAGUUGCCAUUACCUCUAAUAAAACGAACACAAUUAACAAUAAUGACAAUACACAUAAUAUAACAAUAGGAAAACAAAAAAGAGUUAUCUAUGAUGAAGUAGAAAAUAAUCAAAUCCCUUUAAAAAAAAGAAAGAAUGAAUUGUUUUAUAUGCAUCCUGAAAACCACUUAUUUAACCGUACUAGUACAUAUAGAACAACAGGUGAUGAACUUUAUUUAAAUAACUUUUUUAAUAUAUUAAAAGAAUUAAAUAAAAAUAAUAUUAGACAUAGUCCUGAUGCAAUAUUACAAAUAGUAAAA
rnacentral:lncRNA from 1 species